rnacentral:lncRNA from 1 species
UAUCAAUCAAAUAGAUAAGUAAAUCACAUUCACAAUUUCUGAAAUCAUAAUUGGAAGAAAUCAAAUCAUAUAACACAUAUGUCCAUGGCUUCAAAUUCACCUCUAACUAAAAAGAAAUUAGUUCCACAUGUUUAACAUAAUUGAAAAGCAAGUUAAAUUAAACAUGAAAACAGAAACAAAGAAAGAAAGAACUCCAAACACUCCACUAAUGGCAGAUUGCAUGUGCAAGGUGUCUUCCUCCUUUGGGCUGCACGGCACUCCUUCUUCCUCCUCCAAUGGUGGCUGCACAAGGUGGUGAUGGUGGUGGAAAGGUGCGGCUAUGGUGGAUGAAUGGUUAUUUGAAUGGAAGGUUGCGGCAAGGUUGAAUUUGGGCAGAAAGUUGGGAGUUUGGGGAUGGAAGGCUGCGGCAAGAACUAGAACUAGGGUUUUGGACGAAUUUCUGAAUAUGGAGAGGGUAUGUUCGGCCAAAGGGUUUAAAGGAGUAUAUAUAGGCACUUCAAACCCUAGCAAUCAGAUUAGGGU